rnacentral:rRNA from 1 species
AACAAACGCUGGCGGCGUGCCUAAUACAUGCAAGUCGAACGGGGAAAGCUUUCGGGUGAGUACUAGUGGCGCACGGGUGAGUAACGCGUGGAUAUUCUGCUUCAGAGUGGGGGAUAACGAGUCGAAAGAUUAGCUAAUACCGCAUAAGACCACAAGAACUGCGGAUCAAGGGGUCAAAGGUUCUUCGGUCUAAGAUGAGUCCGCGUAAGAUUAGCUAGUUGGUAGGGUAACGGCCUACCAAGGCGACGAUCUUUAACUGGUCUGAGAGGAUGAUCAGUCACACUGGAACUGAGACACGGUCCAGACUCCUACGGGAGGCAGCAGUAGGGAAUAUUGCACAAUGGAGGAAACUCUGAUGCAGCGACGCCGCGUGAGUGAUGUAGGCCUUCGGGUCGUAAAGCUCUGUCGCAGGGGAAUAACACAAUGAAGGUACCCUGUAAGAAAGGAUCGGCUAACUUCGUGCCAGCCGCCGCCGUAAGAC